AAGGAGUCCAACACUUACGCGAGUGUUUUGGUGGCAAACCCGAGCUCGGAAUGGAGGUGAAUGUAGGUGGGGUCCUUCGCGUGCACCAUCGACCGGUCUGGAUUCUUUUGAAAGAUCUGAGUAAGAGCGUAUUUGUUGGGACCCGAAAGAUGGUGAACUAUGCCUGAAUAGGGUGAAGUCAGAGGAAACUCUGAUGGAAGCUCGUAGCGGUACUGACGUGCAAAUCGAUCGUCAAACUUGGGUAUAGGGGCGAAAGACUAAUCGAACCAUCUAGUAGCUGGUUCCCUC
rnacentral:misc_RNA from 1 species